GUGAAUCAUCAAAUUUUUGAACGCAAAUUGCACUCUCCUCGGAGAGUAUGCCUGUUUGAGGGUCAGCCUAUAAAAAAUCGACAUCGUUGCUGUUUCGCGGUGACGUUCGUCGGAAAUUGGGUCAUCUUAAAUCCUUUUGGUUUUAAGCGACUUAAAAUUUCCUUUUUGUUUCAUGAAAGGUUCCUAAGUUUAUUUUCUUAACAGGUUAAAGUAUUC
rnacentral:misc_RNA from 1 species